GUUGUGGGUAAUUAGAAAGUUUAUUGCGGCGUUUAGUUGCAGAACCUCGUUGUUUUGGUGAACGUUUGUGGUUAUUGACGUGAAGUGAGCGUGCGCACUGAAGGCGACGUGAUUAUGCGUGAGAAAGAACGGCUCCAGUGGCCUACAACAUCGGUGUUUCUUUGGGAUCGUGUGUUUACUAUGCCUACGACGGCAGUGAUUCGUGUCAAAGGAGAAAACCCCGUCCACUCGUCCUGAACAGUGAUGAAGUGAAUGUUUUUGUUUCGGAGGAAUCGGCGGAACAUCGCCCAUACACUACGUAGACGAAAUGCCGUGCCCAGAGUACGCAUCGUGACAGCGCUCCACCUUCAAACCGAGGGCCAUUUGCGAGGCACAUGGUGCUCAUAUAAAAGCGACGAAAAUGUCAAAACUUCCUGCUGGAUGCAGAAAACUGCAGUCUACAAGACAUGUUGGUUGUGAGUGGCGGCAAAAAGACGCAUAUGGCUAGAGCGAUCAAUGAAGAAAUGGAUUCAUCUAAGAUGGCUCGCCUUUAGACAUUGGAACGAAGCUACGCAAAGGCAUCACUAGGCUCGCCUGUGCCCUGUAACAUUGGUUUAUAUGAGACUGUUCUUCCAUGUAG